rnacentral:rRNA from 1 species
CCUACGGGUGGCAGCAGUGAGGAAUAUUGGUCAAUGGGCGCGAGCCUGAACCAGCAACGUAGCGUGAAGGAUGACUGCCUUCCGGUUUGUAAACUUUUUUUAUAAAGGAAUAAAGUGAGGCACGUGUGCCUUUUCGCAUGUACUUUAUGAAUAAGGAUCGGCUAACUCCGUGCCAGCAGCCCCGGUAAUACGGAGGGUCCGAGCGUUACCCGGCCUUAUUGGGUGUAAAGGGAGCGUAGAUGGGUUGUUAAGUCAGUUGUGAAAGUUUGCGGCUCAACCGUAAAAUUGCAAUUGAUACUGGCAGUCUUGAGUACAGGUGAGGUAGGCGGAAUUCGUGGUGUAGCGGUGGAAUGCUUAGAUAUCACGAAGAACACCAAUUGCGAAGGCAGCUUGCUGAACUGCAACUGACAUUGAGGCUCGAAAGUGUGGGUAGCAAACAGGAUUAGAUACCCCUGUAGUC